UGAUAACUGCUUCAACAGAAAAGAUGAGUCCC
rnacentral:piRNA from 1 species